rnacentral:rRNA from 1 species
AUUGAACGCUGGCGGCAGGCUUAACACAUGCAAGUCGAGCGAGCGGCGGACGGGUGAGUGAUGUCUGGGAACCUGCCUGAUGGAGGGGGAUAACUACUGGAAACGGUAGCUAAUACCGCAUACCAUCAGAUGUGCCCAGGUGGGAUUAGCUAGUGGGUGGGGUAACGGCUAACCUAGGCGACGAUCCCUAGCUGGUCUGAGAGGAUGACCGGCCACACUGGAACUGAGACACGGUCCAGACUCCUACGGGAGGCAGCAGUGGGGAAGAUUGCACAAUGGGCGCAAGCCUGAUGCAGCAAUGCCGCGUGUAUGAAGAAGGCCUUCGGGGUGUAAAGUACUUUCAGCGGGGAGGCGUUACCCGCAGAAGAAGCACCGGCUAACUCCGUGCCAGCAGCCGCGGUAAUUC